GCACCCCUUGCAUUCCCUCCCCCAACCCCCAGAUGGGAACCCACGAGCAUCCCCUCCUCCCUCUCCCGGCCUCCUUUAGUGGACCCCACCCUAGGUGACAGGUGGGGCCAGGGCACCUCGCCUGGGCCCCUGGGAUCCGCAGCGGCUUGCACCCUCAGCCAGCCCCGCAGCAGCGGGAGAGGGCUGGAUUUCCAGAGCCCGAGGCACCCCCAGGCAGGGCAGAUCAGGAGGCCUGUCCAGAUGAAGGCCUGUCCCCACCCCCACCCCGACCCCAGCCCAGUCUCUGUGCUCCGGGGCUGGGGGCACUACGGGAAGGGAAGGAGGCCUGGCAGGCUUGGAAAGGGCUCUGCAGAGGGGCCAGCAGGGUCUGGCCUUGGCUUUCUGCAGUCACAACAAUGGGCCCUUUGUGGGGUCCAGCUGCCUCGCUGGCCCCUGUCAUGCUGGACCAGGCAUUCUGGAAGUCUGCCCGCAACCGGGUCUCCACCACACGUUCCCUUGAGGUGCGGAGCUCCAGGGGAUGCCCUUGAAGGCCGGGAAAAUAGCAGGGCUUUUUAGGAGGAGCUGGAUUAGCAUCCUGGCUCGAUGCCCACACUGAGCAGCGGGGGUAUAUUCCAAAAAUCAGGGGCAAGGGCUCUAGGUUGGGACCUCCCCUCACUGCUCAGCCACCUGACCCCAGCAAGUGUCUGAACCCUCUCAGCUUCUGGUUUCACCACUUUCAAAUUGGGUCUAAAAAUAAGGUCCCCACCUGUGAGGCCCCGGUUCAGGAGAGGGCUGAACAGCUGUGCAGCUUCACCGCUUUGAAGUAGGGCAUUAGUGCAGGAGGGGCUUCUCUGUGCCAGCCUGUGCUGCCAGCAUCAGGAAGAGUCAAGCACAGGUGAAGUAGUACAGUGACAGUCCCCCGGAAGGGAAGGUCCUAGCCUGCUGUCAACCAUGGCAUGGGAGCAUGCUGGGGUGUAGGUUUGGAGAAGACAUCAUCCUUGAACCUCUUGACCAGCUGACGUGGUUUUCCUGCUCAACGUGGGCACCGAGGCCACCUGGCAAACAUUUCCUAGCUUCCUGCUCCUUCGGGGCAGCCCUGAGGCUGGCACUGAGGUCCCUGAUACAAAUGCAUGCAGACUCAGGGCACUUUGAACAAAGAACGCCCCACCGAUGGAAUUCAGGGCAGUCCUCAUGCCGACAGAUGGGGCCACUAGAGCCGUUUGCACACCCACUCCUAGUUUCAGUCACCUCCCUUGCUUGGACUGAGGAGAUUCCUGCCCCCUCGUUUGUCAAAUGAUUUUGAGCUUGUUGGAGAAAUCGCUUCCUCUGGUCACUUAAUCCUUUCACUCUGCACCCCCAUUGUACAGAGGAGGAAGUAGAGGCUGAGGGGCUUACCCUAGGCUUCCUGGGUGCUGCAGGGAAGGAUAGGCCUGGAUCCUGGUUGGAAGUUUGGGGGGGCAGGAAGGGUGAAAUAAGGAAACCAAGUGAGCCAGUGCUAGCCUUUGGCCUUGGAGGCGCUUGCUGUCACCGGCAUUGGUGUUUAAGGGGGACUGGUGCAGCCUUCUGGCAGCUGCCCAGAGCUCUGUGGGCAUGCCUCUGGCCCUGAGCGCCCUGGGGCCCACUGCAGCAUGGUUGAGGGUGGAUUCCACACUUAGUGGCUGCACGUUGGAGGACGAGCCCUGUGCACCCAGGCGACCUGUGCUUUUUAAGACCUCUUAACCAAAGGGUCUAGGAUUCGGGUGCUGAGGAAGUUCCCCUGUCCCCACGCACCUUCCCCCUAUUCAGUGUUUGCUUAUCAAGUAUUCACUGAGUGCCUGCACCGUGCUCAGCCCUCUGCCACGUGCUCCACUGUGGGGAGGCUGGUGGCAGGUGGCCCAGCCUGCUCAGUGGCCCCAGAGGAGGAGGGAGGAGGGCUAAUGGAGCCUGAGGACUGGAAGUGCCAGCGAGCGAGCAAGGACCAUCCAGCAUUGCACAGGCAGACUUGAGGCCCAUCCUCGUGCCACCUGGGAGAGGGAGCUAAUCUUCACUUUAGAUAAAGGAGGGGGAGACUCCUUGGGUGGGAGGUCUUUGUCCUGGGCAGCGGGAGAGGCAGUGACUAGGCCUUGACAUGGGCUUCAGAGCCUUAGCUGGGGAGAAGAGGAGACCCAGAGGCUCUCAUUGCCCAGUUGGAGGAGGGGCAGAGGGGCGUGCUCUGCCAUGACUCCCCAGCCCCAGUUCAAGGCCAGGGGCAAACUGGCUUCCUAGUGCACUUCCUGGUGCUCUUCCUGUAGCAGGAGAAGAAACAGAAACCUUGAGCUUGCCACGCUCCUCUCUCCUGCCCUUAGGACCUUGUGCACCUUAGGAGCUCCAGGAAAAGGACAGGGUCCAGGCCAGACCCCGGGGAAGUCCAGCACAUGCCGCAGGGUGCUGCCGGAAGUUCCAGCUGCUGCAAUUGUUCUUCUUGUCGUUUCAUUUUAACACCUUUCACCCAGCACCCCGUCAUUUGCUUAAUUCUGAGGCUUAUUCUUCUCCUUCCCGUUACUCUGUGGGCACCCUAGGGCAAGGAUUUGUAUCUGCUUUAUUCAGGCCAUGUCCAGCACCCAGGGCGGUGCUUGGGCCAAGCCACUGUGAUUGCUGCAGCUUUUUGCUGGGCACUGGGGCCGUUGGCAGCUAGCGAUGAAAAGCAGGUCCACUGAUAGCUGGGCACGUACUUGUGGAACUGGCCUUGUGACCUAGAUCCGUGGGUGUUGUCCCUAGUUCCGGCUGGCCCGGGACCAGAGGCACCUGCCAGCUCUGCUGCUGAGCCUGGGGGGGGGGGAGAGAACAGCACGUGGCGUCCCCAUGCCCCAAGCCAGUGGAGCCUGAACUCUCUCUCAGGAAGGAGGCGCAGGUGGCUGAUGCCCCCACAAAGCCCAAGUUCAAACCCCAAGACCUGGGGGCUGCUGCUUCCCUACCUGACCCGUGCCCUGCCCUGGGACAAUGGACUUACCUCUUGGAGCUUCAUUUCUCUCCUUCAAGGAGAUGAGAGUUGUAGGGACAAGUGGGACACCCCUGCACUGUAGGGACAGCCACAUAAUUUGUGGGGCCCAGUGCUGCCCCUCUGGAAAAGUAUUAGGAAUUUCAAGAUGGAGGCCGCGGAGCAUUGAGCCAAGUGUGCAGCAAGCUUGGGACCCUGUGUGACAACAGGGGCCACAGCCUGUGGUGCUGGCCCUGUGCGGUCCCUUGGGUCACUUCUCACUCUGGCCUUCCAAGUGGUCUCUGCCCUCUGGGAGACCCCAGACCUCUUCAGGACCCAGUGGGAGCUCUCCAAGGUGGAGCAAUACUUCCCCAUCCUGGUGCUGGCCCUCGGGUCUGGACCCCGUGCACCCCGCAGCCUGUGUGCUAGGCCCUGCAGACCGUGGCUGCCCCUGCGCCUGCGCCCGGCUGAGCCUCAGCCCCCGCGGGGACUGUGAGCACAGUUAACCCGAGCAGAGUGACAGCAGGGAGGCCUGCAUGCCCAGUGAGCCUCGUCCCAGCGGAGCUCCCGGGAGCGACCACAGCACAAGCUUCACAGCCAUGUGCGUAAAUGGAGGCCUGCCUAAAACCCAGAGCCGAGGGAACGCGGGAGCCCGUGUGUUGUGUUGAUUGAGCACUUACUAGCUCAGGACGGCUGGAAGAAGCUGGCAGGGGUCCACUCACUUUGACCCCGGCAGCUCUCCAAGGCAGCACUGCACUGUUCCUGGACACACAGGGCCUGUUGAGGUGGCAGAGGGCAGGAGCAGGGCCCAUCAGCCAGCGGUGGCCCAUUGCCGCCUUAUAGGCUUCUUUUCCAUUCACUAAAUUGAGAGCGAUCUGGAGCCCCUUCUGAUUGGCUUCCUCUUGGCUGACCCUGUCCAGCAGGGCUCCUCACAAAGCUCAGAGCUUUCAGUCUUUUUCUUGUUUUUCUUUCUAUUUUUAAAACUGGUUUCAUGCAGUCUGGCCCUUGAUUCUGGAAUCAGCGUUUUCAAAAGCCCUUACACCAGCUGAUGGCAUCACUCUUGAAGGCCAGGUCUGCGUGCUGUCCACGGGGCUGUGUCCACCUGCUCCUCUGGGCUGGGCGUGUAGGGGACUCGCUCCCCCAGGCCUUUGGAUCCCCGGCUCUGAUCUCCUGGUGGCUGUGACCUUGCUUUAGUAGGCAGUGGCCUUGCAUUCCCCGCUCCCCCCCCCCAGUUGCUGGGCGGUUUCUAUAGACCCAGGAGAGCCAGGCAGGGCAUAGGAGGGCCCUGGGGUGAGGCUGAGCUGGUACCUCUAAAUGGUGCGCUUGAACCCCACUUCCAUCGGGAUCGUUUGAGAAGAUGUCAAAAUCCCCAAACUCAAGCUGUACCCCAGGCCCAGUGGUCCGGACCCCAGGGUGGGGCCUGGGUACUUUUGAAAGCCCCUUUGUGAUUCCAGUGCUCUGUGUUGAGAGAACCCAUAGCCAGCAGGGCAGAGGCCACCAGUAAAGUGAUGGGCUGGGGGUCUUUUCUGUUAACAUCCUCUAUCUUCCAAGAAGUCCCAGGCCAACAGCUCCAGCAUCGCCCGGGAGCUCUUGAACCUGCAUCAUCUCAGCGCCCACCUGCAUCAGAAGCGCGUGUUAGCACAAGUCCUGGCUCUGGGAGACGGUGACACGCGGAGUCCUGCCCGUGCACACCACUGUCAGGCUGCCUCACUCAGGGCUCCCAGGCAUCCUGCACGGAGGACCCACGGUCUCUUGGUUCAGCCCAGUUUUGCCUGAUGAGUCCUCGGAGGCGCCCUGCUGUUGCUAGAAUGCCUAGAACCCGGUUUGGGAAACACAGCCCUAAUUGUCCUUUAGGAGUGGUAAUUAGCCUAAUUGUCUGUUGCAGCUUUAACAUUUAGGCCUAUUAACCUAAUUACCUUGGCUGUGUGAGGGCAGAAACCUCCCACGCUCCACAUAAAAAAUCCUGGCCCAAGGGAGAGGCGGGAGGAGUCCCUCCUGCACUCCGUAGGAGCUCCUUAGGAUGCUCCUCUGUGCCCUCUGAGCAGGCACGCUGAGUCCUGUUCAUACCCAGGGAAAUCAGCCCUCAGAAACUCUGGGUGUCAGCUGUAUGCUCGCCUGACCCCGGCACCCGGGAGGCUGUGGUAGGAGGAUCACCCAAGCCAGGAGGUCGAGACGAGCCCGGGUGACAUAGUGAGACCCCAGCUCAGAAGGGAAAAGGAAAAAGAAAUGCUGGGUCUCCUGGCUGGUGCAGCAAGGGGCCCCCUGGGGACCUGGCACACCUGACAGUGCCAUCUCUGGUCCUUGUCAGCAGCCCCCUCCUGGAACCUGCCCUGCUCAGGAAGCGAGAUGCAUUUGAACUGGACCGAGUCUGCUGUGUUCCAGUGGUGGGCCCCCUGGACGAAGGACGGAUGCAGUUAGGGUCGCAGCUCAUCCAUGUGCCUGGACACAUGGCUGCUGGCUUCCCAGCGGCCCCUGCAACACGAGCUCCCUUCCUCUUGCUCUGGUCUGGGUGGCAGGGUCCCUGAAGGAGGGGGCAGCGCUACCUUGUUGCUCCUGCCUGUGGUUCUUGAGCUAUGAGCCCUGUGCUGAGCGUCCUGCCGGGCGCCUCGCUGGACUGAAGUCACGCUGGCCUUAUGCGUGACAUGAGACUGUUAGGACUUUAUUUUAUUUUUGCUUAAUUUUUUAAGCUAGCAUAUAAUAAACUUGGCUCUUUUUUUGGUGCA